GGGGAAUGCUUGAAUUGGUAAGCCUAAAACUAUUGUCAUCUCACGCCAUCCUCAGUGAGGGGAUAUUUUUAAUGCAUUGCGAACGAUGGUUAAUUCAGUAGAAUCUUUUGGAGGGUGGUGAAAGCGGUGGAUUUGUAAUGGAGAAUUAACAGACUUCACAAUCCCAUCACCAUGACCACCUUAGUGGACGAUCUUCUAUGCUCAAUUCAGGAUGCCCCUGCCAUCGGCAAUUGGGAACUGCGAUUGCUGUUC
rnacentral:misc_RNA from 1 species